AGGACUGCCUGAUGGAGGGGGGUAACUACUGGAAACGGUAGCUAAUACCGCAUAACGUCGCAAGACCAAAGAGGGGGACCUUCGGGCCUCUUGCCAUCGGAUGUGCCCAGAUGGGAUUAGCUAGUAGGUGGGGUAACGGCUCACCUAGGCGACGAUCCCUAGCUGGUCUGAGAGGAUGACCAGCCACACUGGAACUGAGACACGGUCCAG
rnacentral:rRNA from 1 species